AUUGAACGCUGGCGGCAUGCCUUACACAUGCAAGUCGAACGGCAGCACGGGGCAACCUGGUGGCGAGUGGCGAACGGGUGAGUAAUGCAUCGGAACGUGCCAUUGAGUGGGGGAUAACGUAGCGAAAGUUGCGCUAAUACCGCAUAUUCUGUGAGCAGGAAAGCAGGGGACCGCAAGGCCUUGCGCUCUUUGAGCGUCCGAUGUCAGAUUAGCUAGUUGGUGAGGUAACGGCUUACCAAGGCGACGAUCUGUAGCGGGUCUGAGAGGAUGAUCCGCCACACUGGAACUGAGACACGGUCCAGACUCCUACGGGAGGCAGCAGUGGGGAAUUUUGGACAAUGGGCGCAAGCCUGAUCCAGCCAUGCCGCGUGAGUGAAGAAGGCCU
rnacentral:rRNA from 1 species